AGAUGGAACCCAGGGCCCCAGAGGCACUCAGUCCCACCCUACUGGUAAGCCUCAGACAGCUCCUGGCUUUGCCAAGCUGCCAGGGGCAGCCUGUUAAAGGCACACACUUCUAGCGUACACCCUAACGGGGAACCCACAGCUGAAGCCUCAGGGUAGUCGUCAAAAACAGAUGAAGAUGCUGCUUGUGGAUGAAGUUAACCCCAAAACGGUCUGUGAAGACAGAGAUAGCCCAAAGCCCUCCAGGUCGCCACACAUUCAUCCUCUGCAAAAACCUGGGCGAUGGACCAGGACUGUGUCCCCAGAAAAGGCCACAGGCUCUCAAGAGACAGCCCCUUUGCCAGACUGCAGCCAGAAAAUUUCUACUGCCCAAUCCCAGUCCAGCUGUUCUGCCCUGCUCACCCCUCACCCCAGUUCUGAGGCCAGAAGUAGAGAGAGAGGCCCUGGCUGGCUCACUUCCUCUCUCAUUGUCUUCCAGACAAUGGGCAAAGUUCCACUGAGUCAGAUCAGGGACUCACAACACUAAAGACCCAACUUAGGGGGUGGGGAGGAGCUGUGGGGAAGGAAGCUGUCAGCAGAGCCAGAUGACCACAGGAACCUGAAGAGCGGAGAGCACAGGGAAGUGUUGGGGGGCAGACAGAACAAGGCAAAGAUGUCCAGACAGUCCCCUCUACCCCUUUCUGGACACUGGCCUGACACUCAAAGGAAGGAACACUUAUCAACAAGUCCCAGCUCCGGCACCCAGAGAGGCUGUGAAACCCUUACUGCACACAGGCCGUUCACCGGUCUGUCUGUGGCGGAGACAGACACUUAGCCAGGCAGCACCACAAGUGUCCUGUCAGAUAAGAGCUUGGAGGAGGAAAGUCUGUACAAAGUGUGAGGCAAUCGGUGAGAUUAUACCUCUGGGCAGCAGGAGAAGGCUCCUGAGCCUGCCAGCAGCGGGAGGCCCUUGGGUGCCCCACCACCCCCUCACACCCUUCUCACACACACCUUGCUCAUCCAUGACUUGCGUUUGCACAUGGCCUUCCUCCUCUUCACGGCCUCCCACAGCCGCCUCUGGCCUGCAAGCAGGGAAAGUGAACGAGGUCUGUCAGACAGCUCUCACACCCUCCCAACGAGGCUGCUAUCCACCUAACUGACUUCCUCAGUUCCUGGGACACCACUCAACCCAAUGCCACCAACGGGAUCAGUUGCCAACUAGGAAUUUCAUUCACCCAAUCUCUACACUCUACCUCUGGCUGGAGGUGUUUACUCAUCAAAGCAGAAUGAGAAGUGGCCAGUUACCUCGCCAACUCUCCAGACAACUCAGGUUCCUGUCCUAUUGAGAGCUCCUGUCCUGACUUCCUUCAAGAACAGUGAUGUGAAAGUAUAAACUAAAUAAAUCCUUUCCUUAGC
ensembl:antisense Tnk2os tyrosine kinase, non-receptor 2, opposite strand